UUCUGCUUCUUCCACUUGGUCCUGCGGUUCUGGAACCAAAUUUUGACCUGCGUCUCCGUGAGGCUGAGCGACAGCGCCAGGUUCAGGCGUUCGCACACCGACAGGUAGCGCGUGGCUCGAAACUUGUUCUCUAGGGCCACCAGCUGCUCGGCAGCGAGACGCACCGGCGGGAGGGCAGCUCGCGUGAAUUUUUGCGGAUCCAAGAUGUCCAAGACAGAGAAGGAGAUCUUGUGGUGAGAGGGGGCCGCCUUGGCCCCGACGUCCUGCCAUGCCAACAUGCCCGCCUCCCGCGGGCCCGAGGCCAGCCGCACUGGGGUCGGGGCUGGAUGCGCUCAGCCGCUGUCUUCUGCAGUGGUUUGGCCACAGCUCUCCAGCCGCGAACUGGAAUU
ensembl:antisense Gm16764 predicted gene, 16764